CACAUAUUAGUGCAAUUGGCGUGACACGAAGGUGUCUCUCUCUCUCUCUUUUUCACACACUCAAAAACUUUCCAUUAAAGGAGCACAAAUUUGGGGCGAAAAAUUGAAAGAAGGGGGGGGGGGGGGCCCGAGUAAAACGGAGAGAGAGGAAAUUGAAAUUGAAAUUUGUGAAGGUAGAACCGCUUUCUCCAACCUACCUCUCACCACCACCUCGUGAGUACUCGUGCAUGAGCGAUCAUCGGGGCUGUGUGCUCUGGGAGCCAGGGUGCGCGGCUCGAGUUAAUAAAUUACCGGAUACC
ensembl:ncRNA Y73A3A.1 ncRNA